AGAGUGGACUCUCCGGAUAAGUCAAAGUGUCUCCAGUGCAAACAGUACACUGUGGGGCGAAAUGAGGCUCAAGAUUCCAGCCGAGAAAUCUCACAAAAGUCAUGGAGCUCGUUCACCAUGUGUCGAGUCGCCUUGGCGGUCAGGCUCUGCCCCCUCUUCUGAGCCUUUUAAGUACUGCAUUUUUCAUUUAUUCAAAACAAACC